UUAGAAUUUUUAUAGUUCAGAAUAAAAUUGUUUUAUUUGUUUUUCCUGAUUGAUGUUAGCCGAAGACAAAGAUGAGAAGUCCUCAAAGAAACACAAGAAGAAGUCCAAGAAAAAGAAGCAUAGAGGGGGUGGUUAUUCUUCGGGGAGUGACAUGAGCGAAGGAGAAUUAGAGAAACAAAGACGAUUAUUACUACAGCAGCUGGAGGCCCAUUCUUGAAUAAAAUGAUAUUCGUUGGCAACACCAUACACGCAUACAUUACAGUUUAAUAUUACAUGCUUGAAAUGAGUUUUAACAAUCAUUUAACCAUCGAUUAACUUACUUAGAAGUGCAUAUUGAAAAUUUAUAAUACAGAUAAUUUACAUACUGUAUGGGUCAGGAUUUGGUAACAAAACUUUCAAAAUGCUCGGAAUAAUGUAUGAAUAUUGGAUGUUGGAUAAAAAACAUUACCAUGGAUACAAGUUUUCAAGCUUUUGCCAGAAGUUUAGGUUUCUUUUAUAUUCCUGAAAACACUUCUUUUUCUUAAUAAAACCAAUGAAAAUAAUGUAACAAGAUAUGAUGAACCCAAAUCAUGUUUAGUCUCCAUCUUGCCUGAGGAUAGUCAGCAAUGAAAAAUGGUAUCAAAUAUAUAUACAUGUAAAAAAUAAAUUAUCAACCCCGAGGUUAGCCAAAAUCAUCUUUCCUAUUUAGGAGCCAUUAUGACUGAAGUUGUGUUGGUGCAUCGUAACACCAAACCAAAGAAAAACAUGGGUUAUAUACAUGUAUGUGUAAUUAAAUUGUUGAGAGUUAUAUGAGGUCAGAAGACAUAAUUUUAAGAUAAUCAUAAAAGUUGAUCUGUCUUACAGAAUCCUUUUGAAACUUCUGACUUGUUUUUGCUAUAUUUAAACUAAAAAAUAGUUUUUUUGAAAAUUAUUUGUGAAUGGUAAAUUUGUGUUCAUGGUGAAUAAAUUGUUGUGGAUGUCACAGUUGCUUUGAUGUAUAAGUUGUAAUUUGUCUGAGGCUGGAAACAAUGAAUAAAUUUGGGAACAAAAUAAAA